rnacentral:rRNA from 1 species
CUACGGGGGGCAGCAGUGGGGAAUAUUGCACAAUGGAGGAAACUCUGAUGCAGCAACGCCGCGUGGAGGAUGACACUUUUCGGAGCGUAAACUCCUUUUAUAUAGGAAGAAGAUGACGGUACUAUAUGAAUAAGCGCCGGCUAACUCCGUGCCAGCAGCCGCGGUAAUACGGAGGGCGCAAGCGUUACUCGGAAUCACUGGGCGUAAAGAGCGUGUAGGCGGAUUAAAAAGUCAGAAGUGAAAUCCUAUAGCUUAACUAUAGAACUGCUUCUGAAACUCUUAAUCUAGAAUAUGGGAGAGGUAGAUGGAAUUUCUGGUGUAGGGGUAAAAUCCGUAGAGAUCAGAAGGAAUACCGAUUGCGAAGGCGAUCUACUAGAACAUUAUUGACGCUGAGACGCGAAAGCGUGGGGAGCAAACAGGAUUAGAUACCCCAGUAGUC